rnacentral:tRNA from 1 species
GUGGCGAGUGGUGACAAAUGACUGGCAGUCAUGAGGUCAGGGGUUCGAUCCCCCUCAGCUCCA